rnacentral:tRNA from 1 species
GGGGAUGUAGCUCAGUGGCAGAGCAUUUAUCCAGCAUGUAGGAGGCAUUGGGUUCAAUCCCCAGCACGACA